UACGUAGGGCGCAAGCGUUAUCCGGAAUUAUUGGGCGUAAAGAGCUCGUAGGCGGUUGUCGCGUCUGCCGUGAAAGUCCGGGCUCAACUCCGGAUCUGCGGUGGUACGGCAGACUAGAGUGAUGUAGGGAGACUGGAAUUCCUGGUGUAGCGGUGAAAUGCGCAGAUAUCAGGAAGAACACCCGUGGCGAAGCGGCUCUCUGGGACGGUACUGACGCUGAGACGCGAAAGCGUGGGAGCGAACAGG
rnacentral:rRNA from 1 species